GAUGAACGCUGGCGGCGUGCCUAAUACAUGCAAGUCGAGCGAAUGGAUUAAGAGCUUGCUCUUAUGAAGUUAGCGGCGGACGGGUGAGUAACACGUGGGUAACCUGCCCAUAAGACUGGGAUAACUCCGGGAAACCGGGGCGAAUAACGGAUAACAUUUUGAACCGCAGGGUUAGAAAUUGAAAGGCGGCUUCGGCUGUCACUUAUGGAUGGACCCGCGUCGCAUUAGCUAGUUGGUGAGGUAACGGCUCACCAAGGCAACGAUGCGUAGCCGACCUGAGAGGGUGAUCGGCUACACUGGGACUGAGACACGGCCCAGACUCCUACGGGAGGCAGCAGUAGGGAAUCUUCCGCAAUGGACGAAAGUCUGACGGAGCAACGCGCGUGAGUGAUGAAGGCUUUCGGGUCGUAAAACUCUGUUGUUAGGGAAGAACAAGUGCUAGUUGAAUAAGCUGGCACCUUGACGGUACCUAACCAGAAAGCCACGGCUAACUACGUGCCAGCCGCCGCGGUAA
rnacentral:rRNA from 1 species